rnacentral:misc_RNA from 1 species
GAUGAAGAACGUAGCGAAAUGCGAUAAGUAAUGUGAAUUGCAGAAUUCCGUGAAUCAUCGAAUCUUUGAACGCACAUUGCGCCCUCUGGCAUUCCGGGGGGCAUGCCUGUCCGAGCGUCAUUUGCAACCCUCAAGCCCGGCUUGUGUGAUGGGUGCCGUCCCCUACGGGACGCGCCCCGAAGGCAAUGGCGGCGUCGCGGUUAUCCGAUCAGCCAAAGUGUAUGGGGCUUUGUCACUCACUUUACGGCCCGGACCGGCGCCAGUCCGAAUCAAUCUUUUUUCUAAAGUUGACCUCGGAUCAGGUAGGGAUACCCGCUGAACUUAAGCAUAUCAAUAAGCGGAGGA